rnacentral:rRNA from 1 species
AGUGAACGCUGGCGGUAGGCCUAACACAUGCAAGUCGAACGGCAGCACAGUAAGAGCUUGCUCUUACGGGUGGCGAGUGGCGGACGGGUGAGGAAUACAUCGGAAUCUACUUUUUCGUGGGGGAUAACGUAGGGAAACUUACGCUAAUACCGCAUACGACCUACGGGUGAAAGCAGGGGAUCUUCGGACCUUGCGCGAUUGAAUGAGCCGAUGUCGGAUUAGCUAGUUGGCGGGGUAAAGGCCCACCAAGGCGACGAUCCGUAGCUGGUCUGAGAGGAUGAUCAGCCACACUGGAACUGAGACACGGUCCAGACUCCUACGGGAGGCAGCAGCGGGGAAUAUUGGACAAUGGGCGCAAGCCUGAUCCAGCCAUACCGCGUGGGUGAAGAAGGCCUUCGGGUUGUAAAGCCCUUUUGUUGGGAAAGAAAAGCAGCAGGUUAAUACCCCGCUGUUCUGACGGUACCCAAAGAAUAAGCACCGGCCAACUUCGUG